AGACCUAGCAAAGAACAUCGACAAUAAAGAGCAAAUAGAUCUCAUCCUCUUAGACUUUUCAAAGGCAUUUGACAAAGUCCCACAUGAGCGACUACUGUACAAGAUCGACCACUAUGGCAUAAGAGGGAUAACAAUAAACUGGCUGAGAAAUUUUCUGGACGACAGACAGCUAUGUGUACUCCUGGAAGGAGAAUCUUCAGAAACCUCGCCAGUGCAGUCUGGAGUCCACAAGGUAGCGUGCUUGGCCCUUUGAUGUUUCUCAUUUUUAUAAAUGACCUCCCAGAGUAUGUGUCAGCAUCAAACGUUAGACUUUUCGCAGACUGUGUCCUCUACCUCCAAAUAAGAAACCAAGAAGAUGCGAGCACCCUUCAGAACGACCUAAAUGGACUACAACAAUGGGAGGCAGACUGGCAGAUGGAAUUCCACCCCCAAAAAUGCCAACUCCUAAGAGUAACAACAAAGCGGAACACGUUUAAGGCGAACUAUAAC
rnacentral:lncRNA from 1 species